AUGGGGUAUUACCUUGCAGAUGGUAUAUACCCACCAUGGGCAACAUUUGUGAAGACCAUACCAUCUCCAGAAGGCAGAAAAAAGAAACAUUUCGCCAAAAGACAAGAGGGAGCCAGAAAGGAUGUGGAGAGAGCCUUUGGAGUUCUGCAAUCCCGCUUUGCUAUUGUUCGGGGACCUGCCAAAGGUUGGAAACACAAAGAAAUUGGUGAUCUAAUGAAAGCUUGCAUCAUAAUGCACAAUAUGAUAGUUGAUGACGAGCGAGAUAGCGGUCCACGAGACUACAACUACGACUCUAUGGGAGUGAAGGUGGUCCCAUCUCGUUCUCAUGCGGAACAACUGAGUGUGUUUAUUCAAAUGAAUCAACGGAUCACAAACAGAGCAUUUCACUCUCUGCUUCAAGAUGAUCUAGUUGAGCACAUAUGGCAGAAGUUUGGAGAUGAAUGA
rnacentral:rRNA from 1 species